AAACAGGGAUCUGCACAACGACUGUCAAAACGGCAGAGCGAGGUCUGUUCCAGGGGCUUCUCCGUGUUUCCUCACCCGCGUUGUCCCGCUGGUCCUCAUCCCAUUUCCUGGCAAGUUCAGCCAGGAGCAGGGAAGCUCCUUCUCUCGAGGCGAUCGGGCGGUAGCUGCGGGAGCGUCACUAACUCUUGCAAAAACGCUCGCAUCCAGGCCGGAUGCGGACCCUUGCCCGGAGCGGGACCCCACGCUGCUGCGAGCCGCAGUGCGGGAGCCGGUGGCGACCCAUCCUGUGUGGCUGCCGUGCGGCUUCAAGCGAGCGGGGACUUGCAGCGAGCCAGUCACCCCACCGGGUCUGUAGUUACACAUCCCGGCGGUUGUCGGCCGUGGAGUAGACGCCACGGACGGGGAAGGAGCUCUGCCAGGAUUUUCUCAGACGGCUGGGCACCCUGGGCGCUGCCGCUGUUGGCUGUCGGAUGCGCCUUGGGAAGGAGUCAACAACAGGAAGAAUAUAUGUUCCCAAAGAAAUCCAGUGUCACUGCCACAAGGACAUGGUGCUAGAAGAUUCCUUUCUUUCCGAAGUAGUCUUUCAAAUGAAACCUGUUCUUCAGUCAUUAAGAAAAAUAGUGAUGCUCAUAAAGGUGAGUCGAGUGCGGCAGCAGCAAGCCAUGCUGGUUUUAUUUUCAUGUAUUACAGGAGCCGUCAGCACUCUUUAGCAGCUAAUUAAUUUGAUGAAUUUUGCCUCUUUUUCUGUUCAUGAGCUGUCUCUAAGCAGAGGACAAUUUUCUCUGAUUGAUUUGAAAUUAGUCAUGUAAUAAUUAUCCUUGUUACAUGAGUACACGCAACUAAAGCAAUUUCUAGCACUGGUGUUAUUGCUUGCACUGUACAACUCGCCCCUCCUCUGCGGUGGGGUUGGGAGCUGUACUAACACUUAGACUUAACAAAUAAUUUCUCAUUGUUUUUUUGGCUGGAGAAGCGGUUGAUACAGGAUAUUUUAUACUUCAUGGGGCUCCGGAGCAGAUGCAUUUUCAGCCUGUCCUGAUCGGGGUGGGAAACCUGUGGGGACGGGAUGGUGGGAGGGAGGUCGGGGGAGCCCCGGAUCCCGCUGCACGUGUGAAUCAGACCUUCGUAACCGGGUUUCCAGGGAAAACCCCAGAUCAUGCUAAUGCAGCAUCUGCUUCCUGCAAGUAUUUUCCAGCCCUUGCUUAAAGUUUCCAGCUCUCAUGAGCAUGCCUGCCGGAGCUCCUGCUUGCAGAGGUGCUCAUUGCUGCCACUGCAGAGCCCAGCGGUGCCAGCCCGGCUGCAGGCGGCCACGGGGACGCCUCCGCGCCGUGCACCG
rnacentral:lncRNA from 1 species